rnacentral:rRNA from 1 species
ACGGCAGCACAGGAGAGCUUGCUCUCUUGGGUGGCGAGUGGCGGACGGGUGAGGAAUACAUCGGAAUCUACUCUGUCGUGGGGGAUAACGUAGGGAAACUUACGCUAAUACCGCAUACGACCUACGGGUGAAAGCAGGGGAUCUUCGGACCUUGCGCGAUUGAAUGAGCCGAUGUCGGAUUAGCUAGUUGGCGGGGUAAAGGCCCACCAAGGCGACGAUCCGUAGCUGGUCUGAGAGGAUGAUCAGCCACACUGGAACUGAGACACGGUCCAGACUCCUACGGGAGGCAGCAGUGGGGAAUAUUGGACAAUGGGCGCAAGCCUGAUCCAGCCAUACCGCGUGGGUGAAGAAGGCCUUCGGGUUGUAAAGCCCUUUUGUUGGGAAAGAAAUCCAGCUGGCUAAUACCCGGUUGGGAUGACGGUACCCAAAGAAUAAGCACCGGCUAACUUCGUGCCAGCAGCCGCGGUAAUACGAAGGGUGCAAGCGUUACUCGGAAUUACUGGGCGUAAAGCGUGCGUAGGUGGUCGUUUAAGUCCGUUGUGAAAGCCCUGGGCUCAACACUGGGAACUGCAGUGGAUACUGGGCGACUGAGAGUGUGGUAGAGGGU